CCUACGGGUGGCAGCAGUGGGGAAUAUUGGACAAUGGGGGGAACCCUGAUCCAGCCAUGCCGCGUGUGUGAAGAAGGCCCUCGGGUUGUAAAGCACUUUCAGUGAGGAAGAACGCCUGGUGGUUAAUACCCAUCAGGAAAGACAUCACUCACAGAAGAAGCACCGGCUAACUCCGUGCCAGCAGCCGCGGUAAUACGGAGGGUGCGAGCGUUAAUCGGAAUUACUGGGCGUAAAGCGCGCGUAGGUGGCUUGAUAAGCCGGUUGUGAAAGCCCCGGGCUCAACCUGGGAACGGCAUCCGGAACUGUCAAGCUAGAGUGCAGGAGAGGAAGGUAGAAUUCCCGGUGUAGCGGUGAAAUGCGUAGAGACCGGGAGGAAUACCAGUGGCGAAGGCGGCCUUCUGGACUGACACUGACACUGAGGUGCGAAAGCGUGGGUAGCAAACAGGAUUAGAUACCCGGGUAGUC
rnacentral:rRNA from 1 species